AGGACUACUGGGGUUUCUAAUCCUGUUUGCUCCCCACGCUUUCGUGCAUGAGCGUCAGUGUCAGCCCAGAGACCUGCCUACGCCAUCGGUAUUCCUCCUGAUAUCUACGCAUUUCACUGCUACACCAGGAAUUCCAGUCUCCUCUGCCGCACUCCAGCCUUGCAGUCCCAAAUGCUAUUCCCAGGUUAAGCCCGGGGAUUUCACAUCUGGCUUACAAAACCGCCUGCGCACGCUUUAUGCCCAGUAAUUCCGAUUAACGCUCGCACCCUACGUAUUACCGCGGCGGCUGACAC
rnacentral:misc_RNA from 1 species